AGGAGAGCGCAGAGCCGUAAAAUGUCGUAAAGUCAGAGCCUGUGCUAUAAAAUGUGACGCUCUUCUUCCGGAGUCUCUCUCAGCUUCAACCCGUCUGCGAGUGCUUGUGAAGAAGUGUGGCUUAAAACUAGGGUUCGGAUGGAAUAAAAGGUCCUCUUGUGAACGGACCGGCCAGUCGGGCUUCAGAACAAAAUGUGGGUGAAUAA
rnacentral:lncRNA from 1 species